AACCUUAUGGACCUGCGGGCGUAUACCUGCGGAGGGAUCAUUAUUGAUUUUUUUUUAAGGAUGUUGCUGGCUCCCCCAGGGGCAGGUGCACUCCUAACAAAAAAACCAACAUCCACCUGUGCACCUUUCUGUAGGCAAGAGGAAAAGACCCUUCAUCUUGGGCCCUUUUCUCUCUCUGUCUAUGUUUCUAUCACAAACGCUUGAUCUAAUUGAAUGUUAACGAGACAAAUAAUCUUUGUA
rnacentral:misc_RNA from 1 species